AUGGGACGACACUCCCAGAUCGGUGGUGGGCGCGAUGACCGGCUGAGCAAGCUCGACGAUGGCGUUCUUGGCAACAUCCUCUCCUUCCUCCCCGCCAAGGAGGCCAUGCGGGCGACCGCGCUCUCCACCCGGUGGCGUGACGUCUUCGCCAGCGUCCACACCGUUUCUCUGGAGCAGUCGGAAGACACCGUCUCCCUCGCCAACGGCGUCAACGACGUGCUCCUCGCCCGAUACCGCCGCGGCCGCACCACGGUCCCGUUGCGCUCCCUCCGCGUGGCCUUCUGCGACUACAAUAACGGGAUGAACGACCUCGACUCCAUGGUUGACCGGUGGAUCUCGUAUGCCAUGCAGGAGAGUGGACCUGAGCUCCACCUCGACCUGCGCCUCCGCGCCGACGAAAUCUGCGGCCGCGGCUACUCCCUCCGCGGCGCGGCCAAGGACAACCAGGACGGCAUUCAAGAUGACGAGCGCUCCGCUUGCAGCUCCGACGAUGAAAACCGCGAGGUCGAGUCGCUCCUUCAUGCCCUGGAGGGCAUCGCCCUCGACGUCAUCUCCGACGACGAGGUUGAGACGCCCCCUCCUCCCAAAAGACCAUGGCUACGGCAGCAGAAGGACAAGCUGUACACUGUUCCACGAUCUGUCUUCUCCUGCGCCGCGCUGCGCACUCUGUGCCUCGGGUCCUGCAAGCUCGACCCGCCGACCGGCGGGGCCAACCUGCCGUCCCUCGAGGCGCUGGUCCUGACCCGUGUUGCCGACUCGGGCAGGAAGAUUCAACGGCUCAUCUCCAGCUGCCCGUUCCUCGCCGACCUGACGCUCGAGGCCUGCGCCAGAGUGAGGGAGCUCUCGGUCCUCGACAAGCGCCUCCGCAGGCUGGCCCUGAGGUGUUGCCACCGGUUGGCGAGCGUCAUCAUCGAUGCGUCGAAGCUGCGCUCCUUCGAGUACAGGGGCGCCGUGCCCGCGCAGCCAUCGUUUCUGACCAUGCACAACGGCCCGCCAAGACUCUCGUCAUGCAGAGUCGAUUUAUGCGGCGGGGAGCUGACGUCGGAGGAGGAUCUCACCCGCCUCGGCGAAUUCCUCCACCACUUUGAAACCGCGGAGCAUUUGCACCUGACGUCUGCCCGCCUGGGCUCCGGCAUCGACAACGACGCCAUCGCCACACGGUUCCCGGCGUUCUUGAAGCUUCGCCAACUCGAGCUCACAGGCUCCCUGCCACACGACGACGAUACCCAAGGCAACGCCGUCGUCGCUGCGGUGGCAAGGAUCCUGGGGCACGCCCCCAACCUGGAGGUGCUCACCCUGUUCUUCAAGGCGCCGCCUCGCGAGAAGCCAGAGCGCUACGGCCUCUACAAGGAGGAGGAGUUUCUGGACGCGCACCAUCUCAAGUACGACCGCGACACCAUUGUCCUGCAGACGCCGCCUGCCGACCUGCUGCCCCCCUGCCUGAGGGAGAUCAACCUGGUGAACUACCAGGGCGGCGACGCGCGUGGACCUCCUCCCGGCAACCUGGCUACAACUACGCGUCCCUGGACCUCCUCCCCUUGGACUACCGGGCAGGGGUCGUCGCCGUCGACCAGCUCCGCUCAAGGUGGCUCCUACAUCUUCACAUUGGGCUCCGACCAGCAGCUGAGGCACAUAGGAUUCCCUGAGGCCAAGGAACUGCUACUGAGAUUCUCCACCGUGUCUAUCCUGUUCCGCGGUAACCUGCAUUGGUGCAUACGCAAUCUGAUGAUGGCAUUUGACACCACCGCUGAGUCGUUCCGGCAGGUGCGCUCUCCGGCUGGUCCUGGCUACUCUAACCUGAUUGAGAUGGGUGACAUGCUUGGCAUCUCCAGUCUUAGUGACGCAGCAGCAAGCGUUAAUAUCUGGGUGUUGCAAGACUAUGAAGCCGAGGUCUGGACCUUCAAAUACCGGGUUGAGUUUCCGGUCGCAGAGAUCAGGGAGCAAUUUGGAAAGUCUGUCCAUUUUCGGAAUGUGGUGGCCGUGCCUUGGGAUGGCGAUGUGCUCUUACUCAUCAAAUUUGAUGACUGUCUGCUUCAGGUUGACAUUCAUGGCAAGAUGGUUUCCAGUUUCCGUCGCAGAGGCCUUGGUCCUACAAAUCUUCAGAUCAAGCAAACUCUUGUUCAACAUGCCUUCUUUCCGACACUAGAGGGUUAUGUUGUGAACUCUUCGCCUUUGGUCUGA
rnacentral:rRNA from 1 species